CUCUCAAUCAACUGAACCACCUAGUUGCUUCAUUUUCAAAGAGAACUAACGACAUCACAAUGAGUGAUAGCUUGACUUGGUCAUGAAUUGGGUUUGAGUGAUGCAGAGUUACCCAAAAUCAUCAGCCUCACUCUCUGCCAGAGUCACUGAAGUCCAGUGGCAAGACAAAAGUCAGGAUGACUAGCAUGACUUGUGAUGCAAUGGAUGAACUCGGCACCUUCGCUGUCUGACCAAGACCAAGAGCUCCAGAUUCAACUUAUUUUGUAGCUAUUAGAACAGGUCAUUGUCAUCCACCCACUCCACUGAAAGAGGUCUUCACAUGUUUGGGGUGGACAUCCCCAUAGAUCACCAACAGGUUUUUGCCUGUUGACUGCCUUCUAACCUGGUGUCUGCCAAGAUGGUUUUAACAGGGUGACUGCUGUGCUUACUACAGCUUCUUGGAGCUACAAAUGCAAAAUGUCCAAUUCUACACUGAGGAUCAACAACUGUGCAUCCACAGAGGUUGCCCAACCUGUAGCACUCAGUUCAGCACUGAGGAAUUUAAAUUUGAUAGCUGUGCAGAAGAUUGAUUGGAAAGGAAAGAGACUGAAACCAAAUCAAGAGAUUAUUGCAAUAAUAUAA
rnacentral:lncRNA from 1 species